GAUGAACGCUGGCGGCGUGCCUAAUACAUGCAAGUCGAGCGAACGGACGAGAAGCUUGCUUCUCUGAUGUUAGCGGCGGACGGGUGAGUAACACGUGGAUAACCUACCUAUAAGACUGGGAUAACUUCGGGAAACCGGAGCUAAUACCGGAUAAUAUUUUGAACCGCAUGGUUCAAAAGUAAAAGACGGUCUUGCUGUCACUUAUAGAUGGAUCCGCGCUGCAUUAGCUAGUUGGUAAGGUAACGGCUUACCAAGGCAACGAUGCAUAGCCGACCUGAGAGGGUGAUCGGCCACACUGGAACUGAGACACGGUCCAGACUCCUACGGGAGGCAGCAGUAGGGAAUCUUCCGCAAUGGGCGAAAGCCUGACGGAGCAACGCCGCGUGAGUGAUGAAGGUCUUCGGAUCGUAAAACUCUGUUAUUAGGGAAGAACAUAUGUGUAAGUAACUGUGCACAACUUGACGGUACCUAAUCAGAAAGCCACGGCUAACUACGUG
rnacentral:rRNA from 1 species